rnacentral:sRNA from 1 species
CACACGCAGACAUGGCGGGAAAUCGCCUGAUUUUUCGCUCCGGUGUCUUUAAGUUUGAAGACCGAUAAGUCUGCGGAGGUUUAACCGGAAAAAGGAUAUAA